UCACACUGAUCAUUUCCUGGGGCUUAACAGCUGAAAAUGAGCAAAACUUUACAAGGUUUUUAUAAAUCAAAACCUCCACUGGCAGGGACAAUGGGGUUUUGUAAUGAACCAAGGCGAGAAGGGAAGAUCUGAACAUCCUGGGAUGUUCAGCCAGGCUGGACAGUCCCCAGCCAGUGACUCAGGAGCAUCCAUAGAAUCAGAGAAUCCACAGAAUUAUUGAGCUUGGAAGGACCCCCAAGAUCUUGGGGUCCAACCACUAAAAUUGGCAUUGCCACAUCCAACAGCUGAACAACCCCAAAAAGCCUCAGUGCAAAGGAGCUGAACUUGUCAACUGAGCACAAGGGGUGUGACAGGGACGGGGGGGUGACAGGGACAUGGAGGUGACAUCCCUUCACGUGCCCCAGCCCUGGGAUUUAUUUUUGGUGAGAACUCCGGAAUAAAUGGACAGAGAAGAAUCUGCGUGGUAAGAACAAGACUCUGAAGAAAGGGACCAAUUCCUUCCAUUAUUGAUAACAAAAUCAUCUUCCCCAGAAUAGCAGAUGAGGCAAGAUUGACAUUUUGAGAUAAGGCUCUGAUUAUUGUCCGUGGAUUCCAUUACAUCCUAUUAUUUCUCCCAGAUGAAACAUUAAAUCAUCUUUCCUAACUGAA